UAGAGGAAGUAAAAGUCGUAACAAGGUUUCCGUAGGUGAACCUGCGGAAGGAUCAUUACCUAGAGUUUGUGGGCUUUGCCCGCUACCUCUUACCCAUGUCUUUUGAGUACUUACGUUUCCUCGGCGGGUCCGCCCGCCGAUUGGACAAAAUUAAACCCUUUGCAGUUGCAAUCAGCGUCUGAAAAACAUAAUAGUUACAACUUUCAACAACGGAUCUCUUGGUUCUGGCAUCGAUGAAGAACGCAGCGAAAUGCGAUAAGUAGUGUGAAUUGCAGAAUUCAGUGAAUCAUCGAAUCUUUGAACGCACAUUGCGCCCCUUGGUAUUCCAUGGGGCAUGCCUGUUCGAGCGUCAUUUGUACCUUCAAGCUUUGCUUGGUGUUGGGUGUUUGUCUCGCCUUUGCGUGUAGACUCGCCUCAAAACAAUUGGCAGCCGGCGUAUUGAUUUCGGAGCGCAGUACAUCUCGCGCUUUGCACUCAUAACGACGACGUCCAAAAGUACAUUUUUACACUCUUGACCUCGGAUCAGGUAGGGAUACCCGCUGAACUUAAGCAUA
rnacentral:rRNA from 1 species